UCACGUGCAGGUGGUAGGUAGCCACUAUUCGCUGCCUAACGAAAAAUCGCGCAUCUGUAUUUAAAAAUAAUCGGGGACUUUUCCUUUUAUUCCUUAAGGAAGAAAACGAGAAGAAGAACGAAGAACGAAGAAAAUAACGCGAAAGGAACUCUAACGUGACGAGACAAUUGAAGACCAGUGGCAGAAAUAAAGAGCACGUUAUAUAUAACCGAGUAAAUACGCCAGGAUGAUGAAGGCGGCACAGAUUCUACUGCUCGCCGUGGCUAUGGUCGCGGUUACCGACUCCUUGCCUCUGGCCGCACCCUCGCCUGAGGAUGUUCACCCGGUUAUACCGCUUGAGAGCGUCAAGGAGUCGUUGCGGUCGGGUCAAGUAGAGACGAAGAGUCCAAUUACGGAGGUAAAAUCGGAGGAUGCUUCCUCGGUUGCGGUCGUCGAUAUUGUGGAGCAGAAACUGAAGGAGGCCAAGUCCACUGAACCCGAAGCUGCCAAGCCGAUCGAGGAAACCCCGAGCAUUGUUCUUCCCACGGAAGGAGAGGCGGCGGCCAAACCGGUAGAGACGAAGGAAACGGUCGUCGAAACGCCAAAGGAGGAGGUGAAGAAAAUCGACACUCCCGAAGUUGAGUCGGAAGAGUCGAAGCCGGUAGUAGCCCGAUCGGAGGAGUCGUCGCCGAAAACCGAGGAGAUUAAUACGGCGGAAGUUCCGAUUCCAAUCUCAGCCGAGAAGAGCCUUGUAACGGAGACAAAGGAAGCUGAAGCUGCAGUUUUAUCGACGGAGGAAAAAAUCGCGUCUGCAUUACCGGCGGCUAAGGAACUGCCCCACGAAGCUUCAUUGAUCGUCGACUCGAUCGUCAAGGAUCAGAGCGAGAACCUGCAGAAACAGGAAGAAAAGAUCGUAGACAUCGCCGAGCGUGUAACUCGCGGAGGAAAAAUUACCCCGGAUAGCGAGAGCCCGGAGAAAAGUGAAGUAGGACAGGAACAGGCUGCGAUCGUGACGCCGGUUGAGAAAACUUCGAUACCGAAACUCGUGAGCGAAGCCGUUGACAGCGUUUCCAGGUCAGUGGAGGAAUCCAAGAAGGAACUGUCUGCCUCGAUCGAUAACGCGCAAUCAGCGGCGGCAAGUGAGAAGAUAGUAGAAGCAACAAAGGUAGCCGAACAAGAAUCCAGGAAGGUGGAAGACGCGGUGUCUGAAAUCAAAGAGGAGCCAGCAGUGAAGGAGGAGAUUAAGGGUGAGAAGGAGGGCAGUUUGACUCUUGAAGAAGGAUCAGCAGCUACUGAGAAUGAGGAAAAGAAAGAAGAGACGGAAUUAAAGGAGGAAAAACCGGCUGCGGCAGAAGAGAAGCCAAAAGAACUUCAAACUCCGGCUGCUGAUGAUCUCCCAAACGCUGAACAACUGACCGACAAUAAUCAGCCGAAAAAACCUGAACCGGAAGCGGAAAAAUCUGAGGAAACAUCGCAAGAAUCGAGCGAGGAAUCUUCUUCAAGCGAGGAAAGCGGAGAGGAGAAAAAAGUAAGCAAGCAUGACGAGGAUUCAAGUCAAGAGGAAAGUAUUGAGAAAAGCGAGACCGGAAAAAUAUCUACUUCAGAAAAAUAAUUUUUAGAAGAUUGAAUAAAACGAACUCGCAUACGCAUACACAACAAACCGACAAUCAUAUUAUACGGGAAGAAAAAAAACAAUCGAUCAUUCGCGAGUGAUAUAUAUAUAUAUAUAUACAUAUACUUAUAUACUACACACACACACAUAUAUAUAUAUGGUUACAUAUUCUAUCGGAGAACAAACGACAUAAUAAAUGCGAGUAAAAAUUUUUUUUAAUAAAAAUAAAUUUAAAAAAAACAAAAAAAAAAAAAACACAAGAGUAGGGCGAGAGAAAGAAAAAGGUGAGAAAGUGUGCGUGUGUGAGAUAGAAGAACGCGAGAGGUAGAAAGAGUGAAUAGAUUAGAAUAUGGCGGAUUUAUACGAUCAUCUUUUGUAACCCAGUGAGGGAAAGAUACAGAGUGAAAGGGAGAAAGGGCAAACAAAAAAAAAAAAAAAUAAAGAUUGAGAGGGUGAGGAACGCCACGCUCCGAAAUGUAAAAAAUCGUGUCCUUUGAUAUCGCUACCACUUCGCUUUUUAAUCCAAAAAUGAAAUCAGAUCGAUAUUUCAAUGUAUGUAAAACUAUUUCACUGGAUCAAUAACAAUAUUAUAUGCACGAUGGAACCGCAUACCCUUCAGCAGCAUCGUCAAUAUACAAUACAGUUACGUGUUAUGGGUGUAGAUCAAUGUCGGAACAGAAAAAAGUAAAAAAAAAAAAUAAAAAGAAAGAAGAAAAGACGAAUAAAAAAAAAAAAGAGACCUGCCCUGGUUGUCCGUUACUUACAACUUCGGCGUCUACGCAUCCCCGUUAAAACAAUAAGCCCCACGUAUAAAACGGAAGCGUAGUUCGUCAUUAUAUAACAUCAUCUAAACUCUACUAUUGUACUAUCAUUGUUACUACGCAUAUAACGCACAUCAUCAUUUCAGUCCAUAUCGUUUUAUAUUAUACGUAUUACAAUAUAGAUAGAUAUUUUAGGUGUCUCGGUGAUGCGUGCAGGGCUCGAAUUGAAACGUAGUAGACCCUCUUGAUUAUCAUAAACCGCCUUUCUCUAUUAUUAUAAUUAUUAUCAUUAUUAUUAUUAUUAUUAUUAUUAUUUUUAUUAUAAACAUUUGUAUUAUGUCGUUAUGUUUAUUAAUCGUCGUUGUGGUAAAUGCGUUUAGCGCCUAUUAUUAUUAUUAUUAUUAUUAUGAUUAUAUUAUUAUUAAUGUUAUUAUUAUUAUUAUUAUAAAUAAAAGCGUUGAGCUAUCUUCGACUCUACAUAUAUAUAAUGUGUGUGUGUGCAUUUAUAUAUAUAUAUAUAUAUAUAGAUAUACAUGUAUGGAUAUAACACAUAUAUUACACACCACGCACAGGAUAUAUAUAUAUGUAUAUAUAUAUAUACACACUUAUAAUAAUAAUAAUAGGGUGUGAACGCACGCACAUUUCCGUCUCUGUGUAUGUCUUUUUGUCUGUUUGCUGCAUGGUUCGAUUUACUAACCUUAGCUAUGAUUUAUGUCAGCUAAAAACCAGCAGCAAUUCUCUCAUGGAAGACUUGGCUGAGGGCCGUUAUUGGCGACCCCCAGCCAUACUCUAUCCCAACCCCUGAACCUCAUCCCCUAUAUACUCGCUUAAAAUAAACUCGAAUUUAAAAAGCGCAA